GGGAGCGGCCCUUCUGCGUCCAGGCUGCCGGCCGGCAGGUAUUUCCCUCAGUUGUGUGAUUCCGGCGGGGACCUCAGGCGGCCACGGGGUGCUAUAGCCUCUGGGCGGCUGCCGUCUUUGUGAUGUGAGUUUGUGACUGGAGGACUCAGGUUGUUCAGUGGAUCAUUUUAAUUUAAUGUUCAACAACAACAGUGAAUUAGUCUACAGCCUGUCGGCCUUCUCAGCCUCAACACUACCGUGACCUGCCUCACACACCUUUGGAGCAAAGUAGAUCAUACAUCUAAGAAGUGGAAGAGGAAAACAGACAGCGGAGAACUAGGUCUGGGUAUGAGGUGAGGCUGAACUGAAAAGCUGCACAAAGGACUUGCGUCUGCAGCGUCGGUAUAAGGAAGCCUGGAGAAGCCCAGCACGUCUCUGUCGAUCAGCAGAGCGCAGUGGAACAGCCAGAGACCAACAGAACAGCAGUGCUUAAGCGUUGUCUGGUUUCAGUCACUGGGAGAGCAUGUGACAGUGUAGAUCGCCGGACCCCCGGCCAGACACCGAGGUCACAGUUCUGGGAAGGGACCUGACAACAGGCUCUGAGUGCGCACCCAGCUAUUAAAGAAAAUACAUACAUAGUGGGAGACUUCAACACCCCACUCUCACCAAUGGACAGAUCAACAAGGCAAAAAAUAAACAAAGACACUAGAGCCCUUUUCCUCUCGCAUUUCCACCAGAUGUGGUGAAAACCAGCCAUCUGCAAAGGGGCCUGGGAAACAACUGAGCUGCUAGCAACACAGACUCAUCAGCAUAUUGACACCAGCCGAAGACCAGAGCUCACACUCUGAAAUCUGCAGGAACAGCAAGUGCUGGUGGGGAGGAAGGGCUCGUGGCAGCCAUGAAAUCAGCCCUAGCCUUGGUUACAGGAGCCGAAGCUGCUGCCUGAGAAUAUGGGGGUGCUUCUGGCUACUUAUCCUGGGGCAGUUUUCUAGAUUCUUGCUAUGAGUGAGACCAUCCGGUAUUUUCUUUUUCUUUUUGGCUUAUUUCGCUGAGCAUGAUCCCUUCCAGCGCCAUCCAUGAGCAACAGAAGUUUAUAAUCGAUACAGCACUUUUUGGAAGCUCCAGGACAACAGGCAUCAGAAUAUCCAAAAAAUAUUCUAACCUUUUACUCCCCAAGAUUCCUUUGUGAAAGCUGCUGAUGAAUUGACCUCCACCGUAAGUCGGGACUCGGAGACACCCCCACCUCCUCCGCCGCCAGGGACUUGUUCGUUCUUCCCACGAAGCAGGGAUUUUCUUAUGGACAAUGGUGGUCUGCAGCCACUCAGCACGUUUGACCAGCAGCUCUGAUGCGCACUCAGAACUCCAUGCUCCUAAGCAAAUGUGAAGUGAAUCAGCACCGAUGGCAGGGCCUAGGGUUAGCGUCUGCUGGACACGGCUUUGUACCUGGCACAAAGUAGGCAUCUGGUUCAUAUUUGCUGGAUGGCGUGUAUAUGGCAACACAUGGGGAUGAUGGAAAAUUUCUAAGGAUGGAAAACCGACUAUUAUACAGUUAAUGGAGGACUCACGACGUCUGCCAGAUCGGAAGCCUGACCUCAGGCUCCCCAGCCCCCGCUGGAGAAGGCGCCACGAACCCCAGAGGCUGUAAGUGGCAGAGAGUUUCAGGGCCUGAUUUUCUGCUCACAGCAGCAUAAGACCUAAUUUUCUUUAAAAGCAGCCCUGAGGCCAGGACUUCUCUGCUAUGCUGUAAGCGUCUCUAAUUUGGACUCUGCCUAUUGUCUCAGAGGUUAUUUUUCCUCUGCUUGUGGAGCUGGAGCUGGA